rnacentral:rRNA from 1 species
GGAUCCAGACUUUGAUUAUGGCUCAGGAUGAACGCUGGCGGCAUGCCUAAGACAUGCAAGUCGAACGAGAUGGCCCAUUGAAGAUUGAGUGCUUGCACGAUUUCCGAUUUGGAUUCUCCAUCUAGUGGCGGACGGGUGAGUAACACGUGGGUGACCUACCUUUGAGUUUGGGACAACUACUGGAAACGGUAGCUAAUACCAAAUAAUAUACAGUUUCGUUUCUGUAUUAAAAGGCGCUUUACAGCGUCGCUCUUAGAUGGGCCUGCGGCGUAUUAGCUAGUUGGUGAGGUAAUGGCUCACCAAGGCGACGAUGCGUAGCCGGACUGAGAGGUUGAUCGGCCACAUUGGGACUGAGACACGGCCCAAACUCCUACGGGAGACAGCAGUUAGGAAUAUUCGUCAAUGGGGGAAACCCUGAACGAGCAAUGCCGCGUGAGUGAUGAAGGUCCUUUGGAUUGUAAAACUCUGUUGUAUGGGAAGAACGGUCAGACUAGGAAAUGAGUCUGAAGUGACGGUACCAUGCCAGAAAGCUCCGGCUAACUACGUGCCAGCAGCCGCGGUAAUACGUAGGGAGCGAGCGUUAUCCGGAUUUAUUGGGCGUAAAGGGUGCGUAGGCGGCUUGUUAAGUAUGAAAUUAAAGCCCGGGGCUUAACUCCGGUUCGUUUCAUAAACUGGCUAGCUUGAGUAUGGAAGAGGUAAACGGAAUUUCUAGUGUAGCGGUGGAAUGCGUAGAUAUUAGAAGGAACACCAGUGGCGAAGGCGGUUUACUGGGCCAUUACUGACGCUGAGGCACGAAAGCGUGGGGAGCAAAUAGGAUUAGAUACCCUAGUAGUCCACGCCGUAAACGAUGAGUACUAAGUGUUGGGGUUUCCCAGUGCUGAAGUUAACAUAUUAAGUACUCCGCCUGAGUAGUACGGUCGCAAGGCUGCAACUCAAAUGAAUUGACGG